GGUGCUGUGGCAUAGCUGGUAAAGCCCCAGCUUGCGGCGCUGGCAUCCCAUAUGGGCCCUGGUUCGAGUCCUAGCUGCUCCA
rnacentral:tRNA from 1 species